GCUGGGUGUAAUUAUAGAGCACAGCCUUGAGAGCAGCACAUGAAUGGCGAAUGAUUCACUGCAUGCAUAUCACAACAUUUGCAUGCAUUAACCCGGAUCGCCCAGCAUAUCCUUGGGCUCACAAAGGCCCUGCCACCGUGUCAACAAGUGCUGAACUCACUCUGAUCACACUCUGCUCCAUUAGUAGUGUCAGGAGGAGGGCCUCAAUUUGUCAACUUAUCACUUGAUUUCUGUAAAUGUUAACUUCAGCUUCAAGAUGUCUAUUUUUUAUGCGUCUUAAGGGAAACAUUCCGAGGUAAAGAGAGACAGAGAAGCAGUGAGUGAGAGGCUGGCCAAACGGACUCUGACAGGCAGGCCCAGAGACCAAUCAGGAGAGAGCCUUCAGUGUAAAUUCCAGCCGCGGGGACGCGGGGGGAGGCGCGAUGCGGAGGAAAAAGCAAAUAGUUGAGUGAACAGCAUCAGUACAGAGUGAAGAAGACUACACAGAGGCAGCGAGGCAUCAUCAGCAGAGACCGAGUAAAAACAGUGUGAUUAGUUUUUCUGUCUGGGUCCAUGGAUGUGAAGAGGGCACACUCCUGUCUGCUCCGUGGAUUACAGGCUGAGUGAAGAUGCGCACAGCUUUGCUGGAAGCUUCAGGACGCCUAUGAACAACCAGACAGUGGAGCUCCGAAAUAACUGAGUUUAUACAGCAUUAGAACUUCUCCAAAAGACCCAAAUGUCUCUUUUUUAAAGGGACUGCAUAUUCCAGACGCCUUCCUUGUUUUUGGACUUUGACGCGCUGUGGAGAGUUUCACUUGCUGGCUGAAGUGGCCGGAGAAUGUUGAGAUUUUUUGUCUUCAUCAGAAGACAGUGAGAUUAAUGCUUUUUGCUGAUGUAUUUAUUUCUUUUUUACCCAAGUGCACUUGUUUUUCCGGUCAUGAUUGUGGUUUUGAUAGCGCUGUGUUUUACGGAUGGAGCGCUCUCUCAGAUCCGCUACUCUGUCCCGGAGGAGGCAGAGCAUGGCACGCUGGUGGGGAACAUCGCUGAAGACCUGGGGCUGGACCUUACCAAACUGGCCUCCCGGCGAUUCCAGGUAGUGCCUAGUUCCAGAACGCCAUAUCUGGAAGUGAACCUCGAGAACGGCGUCCUGUUCGUUAAUGAGAAAAUCGAUAGGGAGCAAAUCUGCAAGCAGAGUGCCAGCUGCCAGCUCAACAUGGAGGUGUUCUUGGAGAACCCACUGGAGCUGUUCAGAGUCGAAAUUGAAGUGGUGGACAUUAACGACAACCCACCGAGCUUCCCGGAGACAGACAUCACGGUGGAAAUCUCAGAGAGCGCAACCCCUGGCACCCGGUUCCCUUUGGAGAGUGCGUUCGACCCGGACGUGGGCUCCAACGCGUUGCGCACAUAUGAUAUCACAACCAACAAUUACUUUUACCUGGACGUGCAGACCCAAACCGACGGAAAUAAAUUUGCAGAACUUGUCCUGGAGAAGCCUCUGGACAGGGAGCAGCAGGCAGCGCACAGGUACGUGCUCACUGCGGUGGACGGCGGACAGCCUCCUCGGACCGGCACCGCGCUGCUGGUAGUCAAAGUGUUGGACUCUAACGAUAAUGUGCCCGUGUUUGAGCAGCCCGUCUACACGGUGAGUCUCUCGGAGAACGUACCGGUGGGCACGCUGGUCAUCCAGCUGAACGCCACCGACCUAGAUGAGGGACUGAACGGGGAAAUAGUUUACUCCUUCAGCAACCACAUCUCCAGUCGCGUUAAGGAGCUGUUCGGCAUAGACCCGCGGACCGGGCGCAUCGAAGUCCGUGGGGAGGUGGAUUUCGAAGAGAGCAGCCUCUAUCAGAUCUUUGUCCAGGCUAAGGACCUCGGGCCAAACGCCGUACCCGCGCAUUGUAAAGUGUUGGUCAAAGUGGCGGACGUGAACGACAACGCACCGGAAAUCACCUUCAGCACUGUCACGGAGUCCGUGAGUGAAAAAGCCGCUCCCGGUACCGUCAUUGCCCUGUUAAGUGUGACGGACCGUGACGCAGAGGAGAACGGACAGAUCCACGUGGAAAUCCUGGGUGAUGUACCGUUCAAAUUAAAGUCCUCUUUCAGGAAUUACUUCACCAUAGUGACUGAUGGGCUCCUGAACCGGGAGCAGGCAGACUCCUACUCCGUGACCGUGGUGGCGCGGGAUAAAGGAACUCCUUCGCUGGCUUCUAGUAAGUCCAUCCGCGUCCAGGUGUCAGAUGAAAACGACAAUGCGCCCACUUUCACUCAAUCCGUUUAUGAUGUGUAUGUGACAGAGAACAACGUACCAGGAGCGUACAUUCACGCUGUAACGGCCCUGGACCCUGAUAUAGGGCAAAACGCUCUCAUUACUUACUCCAUCUUAGAGUGUGACAUUCAGGGCAUGUCAGUUAAAACCUAUGUGUCUAUCAACGAGGAGACAGGAUACCUUUACGCACUCAGGUCUUUUGAUUAUGAGCAGCUAAAAGAUUUCACCUUUAUGGUCAAGGCCAAGGAUUCUGGUGCCCCUGAGCUUUCCUCUAAUGCAACUGUCAAAGUCAUAAUUGUUGAUCAGAAUGAUAAUGCGCCCCUGGUACUUGCGCCCCUGGGGAAAAAUGGGACUGCGAAGGAGCCCCUUCCUCGCUCCGCUGAGCCAGGCUACCUGGUGACUCGUGUUGUGGCCAUGGAUGCAGAUGAUGGUGAGAAUGCCCGCCUGUCCUACAGCAUUCAGAGGGGUAACGACAACGGGAUGUUUAGGAUGGACUGGAGGACUGGUGAACUCAGGACCGCAAGGCGGGUGUCAGCUAAGCGAGACCCCCACCAGCAGUAUGACCUGGUGAUUGAGGUGAGAGACCAUGGCCAGCCUCCAUUGUCCUCCAGUGCCAGCAUACUGGUGAUGCUGGUAGACAGCAUGGCUGAAGGCCGGGGUGUGGGAGACAAAGUGGGCACCAGCAAGGCCAAAGAUGGUGCUUUGGACCUCACCCUCAUCCUAAUCAUUGCCCUCGGUUCUGUGUCCUUCAUCUUCCUCCUUGUGAUGAUUGUGCUGGCCGUGCGCUGCCAGAAGGACAAAAAGCUCAACAUUUAUACCUGCCUAACUAGUGACUGCUGUCUUGGAUGCAGCUCCUGCUGCUCACGGCAGGGUAGAUCCCGCAAGAAAAAGCUCAGCAAGGCGGACAUCAUGCUUGUGCAAAGCACUGUCAAUGUCAGCGGGCCUGGAACGGCUCAAGUCCCUGUGGAGGAGUCUGGGAGCUUCGGUUCCCACCAUCAAAACCAGAACUAUUGCUAUCAGGUAUGUCUGACUCCAGAGUCUGCCAAAACUGACCUCAUGUUCCUAAAGCCGUGUAGUCCAUCUAGGAGCACAGACACCGAUCACAACCCGUGUGGUGCCAUAGGGUCAGGGUACACAGACCAGCAGCCUGACAUCAUAUCAAACGGCAGCAUUUUAUCAAACGAGACCAAACACCAGCGAACCGAACUCAGCUACCUGGUGGAGAGGCCGAGGCGUGUCAACAGCUCAGCAUUCCAGGAGGCAGAUCUGGUCAGCUCUAAAGACAGUGGCCAUGGAGAUAGCGAGCAAGGAGACAGUGACCACGAUGCCACAAAUCGAGGACAUUCCUCUGGUGCUGAUCUGUUUUCUAACUGCACAGAAGAGUGUAAGGCCCUGGGGCACUCUGAUCGCUGCUGGAUGCCCAGCUUUGUGCCCUCUGAUGGGCGCCAGGGUCUAGACUACCGCAGCAACCUCCAUGUUCCCGGCAUGGACUCAGUCCCAGAUACAGAGGAUUUAUUCUGAGAGGGAUGAGCUGGCGCCUGUCUCCAACCAUCAAUGAACAAGAACAUGGCGAGGUCUACAAGCCAUCAAUCACAGUAACUUGCACGAGGACCUUCUGACUGGCUAUGACGAGACGUGGUCCAAAGCUGAUGGGUUGCAGCUGAGGCACAUGACCAGGUGAUGGGAUGAUGCAGGUGAGGUUGAAGAGUCAUCCAGUUUGAAUUGGAUGGUAGCCACAGCUACCAUGGGGAAGUAUAACAGAAGCAAGGCUGUCAUGCACCGGUGCCAUCAGGACCUCUGACCCCCAUCAGCAGGCAAGUGAGAAGUGUCUUACCCAUGGUUACAGCAACAGAGGUGAGUGGAGCAGGGAUCGUCCCAUUUGAUGCUGAUGGCAUUUUAUUUUAUGCAGAUAACAUAAAUGCAACUUUCUCUGACUACAAAAAUCAUCUUGCAUGAGAUAGCUAAAACAUUUUCGUUCUAAGUGUACAGUUGUAUGCUUUUACACCUUAGCUUUAUUAUCAUUAAUUAGGUUACUGUUAUUUUAUGUUAUCAUGUAGUGUUUGUAGUCUAGUUUAUUAGGCCUGAGCAUCAAAAGGACUGUUAAGGCCUUUUAUAACUAGAAGGUUUUUUCUUGUUAUUCUGACACUUUUCUUAUAUUCCUUUAUUUAAUCAGGUAAACUCCGUUGAGAUCUAGAUCUCAUUUUCAAGAGAUUUUCUUUUUUUGGCUUUUUGGAGGCCUUAACAUAUUCAAAAACUUCUCAUACUUCAUUGAACAUUGUCCCCCAUAAGAAAUGUUUUAAUUUCCAUAGAAUCAAAAGUCUGCAGGGCCGAACUGCUUAAUGUGAAAUAGGUCAAAUAGGUGAAAUAGGCCAAACCCUACAUCAUAGAAAUCUGAAACUUGGUAUGUAGGUAAAUCCAGUUGGGAGAAAACGUUAACAUUAAUGCAUCUUUCAUGAGCUUGGCUUCUUGGCCUUGAAAGAUCUGCUGGACUGACUGGCCAGCAAAGCUGGUUAGUCUGUUCCCUGUGGAAUCUGGAUUGGCCCCACUGUUACCCUAUACUGCACAUCUGGGAACUGUGAGAGUGUUGGUGUUCAAGAAAUUCACAUUGCCCUACCAGCCUGGUAACCUAAUCAGUCUGCACUGAACAAAAAGAGUUGUGUGUUGUUUAUGGGUCUGGAGACACUCUUCUAUUAAUCAGUCUCCUUACACAGAGACUAAACAUAUUUGAAUUGCUCGGUGUCAUAUGAUGCAGCAUCGACGUCACCCAAUGCAGAUGGAGGGCAAGAAGUAAAUGCAGCCUGUUUACUUCUUUUGCUCCAGCGUCAAAAUGCCUAAAGUCUGAGUCGUGUACAGUUGUUCCAACAGAGAGAAAGAUAAACGUUAUUUUCGUGUUUUGAAGGUAAUUGGUCACAAGGGAGUUAAUUUUUAAAAAACUUAACAAAAAAGGUUGAGAAAAGUGAAUCAACAAUCUACUGCUAAAAACAGGAUGUGCAGAAACUAACAAUGCCAGAGUGUACAGCGCCCACUUUCUAACAAGUAACCUUAGUAUCGUGUAACAGAGUUACAAAUGUGUUUCUUUGUUAAAUUAUUAUUUCUUAUUCAUUUUAUAUUGAGAAUUUGUGAAUUUUAUCUUAUUCAGUUAUUUUUAUUUAUUUUGUUGUUUUUGCCUGCGGGGGUCGCCCUUCUGCUCUCCGCCUCGUUUGUGUUUCCUGGGCUUCCGUAGUUUACUCCAGCCCUCAUAGCUCCUCUGCCCCCCCUUUUUCCCUCAGAGCGUUGUUCUGUGCUGCUGUGGGUAAGUCAGAGGAAAGUUAGCUGCUGAGAUAUGUUUGUUUUUCUGUAUGGAUGUUGUUCAUGUUGAUGUCUUUACCAUAUGUUGUUUAUUAUUGUUUGUUAGUGUGUUAUUUUGCAGUUUUGACCGUCAUUGUGGUUUUUUUUAUAAACAGUUUUAUUAUAAUUUCCUUUUUUAUUUUGGCGCGAACGACCGGUGCUAGUCCAGUACAGCCCGGUUGAACAUUGUUUUUAUUUUCACAUUUUUAGAGCUGGAGUGCAGGGAGAAGGAGUUGAGGAGGUUGUUCAUUUGUUUUCCCUUCUUCCCCCAGAUGGAGCCAGAGGCUGUCUACCUGGGAGGUGCGCCCAUGGGUUUUACGCACCUGGCGGUCAUCAUCUCAUCAUCCUCUGGAGGUUAAAGAAGCUGACUGCCAGCACUUCGACACCGGAGUGUUUUACCUGCUUGGAAUUGUUUACUCCUUGAGACGAUUUGGAUUCUCCAGAGUGACUUCCAUCCUGGCCUUUUGGUUAAAGCCCUCCUCGUGACGCCGUGUACUGUACCCACUGGUUGCCCGAGUCCCGUUUUCACCUCUCCCGUUAGAUCUCAAGAUUCUCAGUUGUCAUCGGCUGGCAGUCGGACCUCACCUCCACCUCCGUCAAGUCAUCACUUACCUGCCUGCCCUCCACCGCAGCCUCCUUGCCUAGGAUCCCGCUCGUUUAUGGAAGCCGGAUCCGUUGACUUCAGCCUGGAACCCACAGACUACUUCCCUGAUUGUGAUCAUUCUUUC